AGCGGUUGGGCAUGCGCAGUGGGCUGGUCCUGACGUACAUGGGCGGGGCUUCUGGUGGGCGUGCGUCCUUCUUUGCGCAUGUCAGGGUGGUGUCUUCUGCCCCUGGCGGCAACGGUGGAGAAACCAACCAGCCUUCUCUUCAAGGUUCUUAAAGACGUUUCAGAAUGAACUCCAUCGGUCAGUCCAACUGCUUUCUACUGGAGCUCUGAGGAUCUACAGAGAUCUAAACAUUUUCCUGAUGUUCCUAAGUUCUCUACAGAACAGGAUCCUCUCAUCGUUAAACUGAACAGAACCCAGGAUGCUUUCAGUUCUUCAGCUCAUCGUAUCUUCUACUGGUGGAUCGUUCAGCAUUUCUGGAUGUUUAGUUUGGAUCCACAAGUUAGUUGAAGGUUCCAGGUUCCAGGUUCUCCUCAUGGUAAAAACACCAUUUCUGCUGCCGGAAGGAUCUGGUGGUCCUUUAAGGAGCCUUUGGGUUUUCUUUAAAGGACCAUUUGAAGAAAUGUUUUUUUAAAGAACCUUUUUGCUGAAAGGUUCUAUGUGGAACUGAAAUGGUUUCUCCAUGGCACCACUGCAAAGAACCUUCUUCUGAGUGUGUCUGCUUGAUGUUCUUUGGUGAAAUGAUCCUCAGUCGCUGCUGGAGCUUCCUGAUGGAUCCACAACCAGUCAGAUUUAUGUCUCAGAUGGUUCCCCUGAUGUUUCUGGAACGUUCUUCAUGCUUCAUCAGCCUGCUGACUGACAGUUUUUAUGUUUUCAGAGCUGGUUUGGCCAUUCUAAGAACAAUUUGUUAAACAUUAUUAAGAAUUCAAUAAAACACGUCAGAAUGACCUUAUAUCUUCUGUCAUUUCACCCAGUGAAUGUAACGGAACCAGAACCUAGGAGCUGACGGAGAGGACACAGAACACAGGUUGGUUUCAUUGAUCAGAUCUUAGAGGAGCUUUCAGACACUAAUCUGAAUAUACAGUGAGUAUGGAAAGUAUUCAGACCCCUUGAAAUUUUUCACUCUCUGUGUCAUUGAAGCCAUUUGCCAAAAUCAAAAAAGUUCAUUUUAUUUCUCAUUAAUGUACACUCAGCACCCCAUCUUGACAGAAGAAAAAACAGAAAUGUAGAAAUUUUUGCAAAUGUAUUAAAAAAUAAAAACUGAAAUAUGACAUGGUCAGAAGUAUUCAGAGCCUGUGCUCAGUAUUGAGUAGAAGCUCCUUUUCAGCUCGUACAGCCAUGAGUCUUCUUGGGAAUGACACAACAAGUUUUUCACACCUGGAUUUGGGGAUCCUCUGCAUUCUUCCUGGCAGAUCCUCUCCAGUUCUGUCAGGUUGGAUGGUGAACGUUGGUGGACAGACAUUCUGAGGUCUCUCCAGAGAUGCUCCAUUGGGUUUAGGUCAGGGCUCUGGCUGGGCCAGUCAAGAACGGUCACAGAGUUGUUUUGAAGCCACUCCUUUGUUAUUGUAGCUGUGUGCUUAGGGUCAUUGUCCUGUUGAAAGGUGAACCUUCAGCCCAGUCUGAGGUCCUGAGCGCUCUGGAAGAGGUUUUCCUCCAGGAUAUCUCUGUACUUGGCCGCAUUCAUCCUUCCUUCAGUUGCAACCAGUCGUCCUGUCCCUGCAGCUGAAAAACACCCCCCCCCCAACAUGAUGCUCCCACCACCAUGUUUCACUGUAGGGAUUCUAUUGGGCAGGUGAUGAGCAGUGCCUGCUCCCAUCCCUCCCCCUUGCCCUCCUCUGUCCUUCUCAACCCCCCCGGCCAGCAGGCAGAUGGGUCCCCCCUAUAUAGAGCCGGGUUCUACUCGAGGUUUCUUCCCUGUUAAAAGGGUGUUUUCCUGCCACUGUCUCCUUUGGGCUUGCUCUGGGGGUCAGGCAUAUGGGUUCUGUAAAGCGUCUUGAGACGAUUUGACUGUAAUUGACGGUAUAUAAAUAAAAUUGAAUUGAAUUGAA